rfam:Kuraishia capsulata CBS 1993 genomic scaffold, Kuraishia_capsulata_scaffold_2
GAUGCGGUGGCUCAAUGGUAGAGCUUUCGACUCCAGUUGGAAUAACAGUGCAAUCGAAGGGUUGCAGGUUCAAUUCCUGUCCGUGUCA